AGCUUGGGGACUGGAGAAAUGACCGCUAUUUUGGUCCAGGGACCCAUUCAGCUCACUGUGAACCGGUCUCUAUUCCCAACUCCU
rnacentral:miRNA from 1 species